rnacentral:rRNA from 1 species
UGGUGAACAGGUGGUGCAUGGUUGUCGUCAGCUCGUGUCGUGAGAUGUUGGGUUAAGUCCCGCAACGAGCGCAACCCUCCUUCUAUGUUGCCAGCAGGUUAUCGGGGGGACUCACGGGAGACUGCCGGGGUCAACUCGGAGGAAGGUGGGGAUGACGUCAAAUCAUCAUGCCCCUUAUGUCCGGGGCUUCACACAUGUUACAAUGGCCGGUACACAGGGGUGCGAUACCGCGAGGUGGAGCGAAUCCCAAAAAGCCGGUCCCAGUUCGGAUUGGGGUUUGCAACUCGACCUCAUGAAGUGGGAGUCGCUAGUAAUCGCAGAUCAGCAACGCUGCGGUGAAUACGUUCCCGGGCCUUGUACACACCGCCCGUCAAGUCAUGAAAGUCGGUAACACCUGAAGCCGGUGGCCUAACC